GCUGCACUGGCUUGUGCGUUAGACGAAUGACAUCCUGGGGCCAAUAACGAAAUCCUGGGAGCUGAUCCCUGACUGGACCGUGGUCCUAUCAUACCGGCGCCCACCUGACUUGUCAGGCCACAGAGAUUUCCACGCGUCGACGGCUAUGUUGGUGCAGCA
rnacentral:other from 1 species